GUGGAGUAAAUGAUAGUGAUGGUAAAAAUGUAUAAGUGAUGAUAAAACUUACUUCUCAUUGCUCCACAUAUUGCUAUCUCUCCUCCUCUCUUGAUCUUUGCCUUGGAGAACAUGGGCUAUCUUCUUUUUUUCAGGUGGGUAGUAGAUACCCCUAAUUCUACCGUCGGACACUUGUCCAUUUUUUCCGCUCAAGUGGGUAUCUUUGUACCCCUAAUUCUACUCCAGACACUUGUCCAUUUUUUUCCUCUCGUCUCACUCUUUUUCUUUCUUUUUCGAGGUUCCGGGUGUUGACACUAGCUAACACCACUUAGAUACUGGGUUGUC
rnacentral:lncRNA from 1 species